CCCAUUUUGCAGAUAAGGAAACUAAGGCAAAAUGAGGUUCUGAAACUUACUAUCAAUCACACUGCUGAGAGGUGGUGAUAAGUUGGAAUUCUCGUCUAACUUUUCCUAAAGAGGUGAACACUGGAAAAACAUGACUGAUUCUGUGCAACUUGGAAAAGGAAAAGUCAUCAGCAAGUCCCAUCCUUACCACACACAAAUACAUUACAGAGAGGGCCAAGCUGGAGGUGGUGUUGUUGACAGAAACAUUGUAAGCAGAGAAGGUGAAUCAAUCCAUGGAGUAUCCCUAUCACACUGGAUGAAGCUCAGAAUUGGCCUAAAGAAAGUGGAAGUGAGAAACACACAGGCCGGUCAGAGGCACACAGCUGCCUUCUCUCCCAGCUGACUUUGGGCAACCACACAAGGCAAAGCCAGAGGAACCAAGAAAGGGACCCGCAUGUUUGAAGAAAGGAGGAAGAAUGUCAGGACUUGGAGAUCUCUGAAUGCUUGCUUUUUGAGCUGAAUGGCUUGUUUGAAAAGUGCGUUCUUUAUGGUGGAAUGCUUUCUGUGGUCACAUGACGGAGAUAGCGCUUGGAAAGA
rnacentral:lncRNA from 1 species